UAAUACGAAGGGGGCUAGCGUUGUUCGGAUUAACUGGGCGUAAAGGGCGCGUAGGCGGGACUUUAAGUCAGGGGUGAAAUCCCAAGGCUCAACCUUGGAACUGCCUUUGAUACUGGAGAUCUUGAGUCCGGGAGAGGUGAGUGGAACUGCGAGUGUAGAGGUGAAAUUCGUAGAUAUUCGCAAGAACACCAGUGGCGAAGGCGGCUCACUGGCCCGGUACUGACGCUGAGGCGCGAAAGCGUGGGGAGCAAACAGGAUUAGAUACCCUGGUAGUCCACGCCUUAAACGAUGGGUGCUAGCCGUUAGGCAGCUUGCUGCUUAGUGGCGCAGUUAACACUUUAAGCACCCCGCCUGGGGAGUACGGUCGCAAGAUUA
rnacentral:rRNA from 1 species